GGCGAACGCUGGCGGCGUGCCUAAUACAUGCAAGUUGAGCGCUGAAGGUUGGUACUUGUACCAACUGGAUGAGCAGCGAACGGGUGAGUAACGCGUGGGGAAUCUGCCUUUGAGCGGGGGACAACAUUUGGAAACGAAUGCUAAUACCGCAUAAAAACUUUAAACACAAGUUUUAAGUUUGAAAGAUGCAAUUGCAUCACUCAAAGAUGAUCCCGCGUUGUAUUAGCUAGUUGGUGAGGUAAAGGCUCACCAAGGCGAUGAUACAUAGCCGACCUGAGAGGGUGAUCGGCCACAUUGGGACUGAGACACGGCCCAAACUCCUACGGGAGGCAGCAGUAGGGAAUCUUCGGCAAUGGACGAAAGUCUGACCGAGCAACGCCGCGUGAGUGAAGAAGGGUGUCGGAUCGUAAAACUCGGUUGGUAGAGAAGAACGUUGGUGAGAGUGGAAAGCUCAUCAAGUGACGGUAACUACCCAGAAAGGGACGGCUAACUACGUA
rnacentral:rRNA from 1 species